rnacentral:lncRNA from 1 species
CUCUCAACGGCAGCACCGACCCCCCAGAUGCCAUCCCCCGACGGCCCGACCUCCCAGAGAUAAAAGAAUCCCGGCCAACCAACUGUUUCGCCGAUCCCUAGCCGCGUCGCGCGGCGAGCCCGAAGCCGGCGCCGGGCACCUCACGUGAUCGAUCGCCGGGGUCGCAUACCUGUGCGUCGCAGCCUCGCGCUUUCUCCGCGCAGCUGCCGUGCACACUACUCCUCCUCACUCCCGGAGCCACGCCCACAC